rnacentral:lncRNA from 1 species
CAUCAUGCUGGUGGCCUGCAUGUGCCCCAAGUGGGUCAUCUAGGGGCCUUCCAAGAGGGAUCUGUGGAAGAACAAAUCCUUGAUUUUUGGUCUCUGGGACAACUGUGUUCACUGCUGGAGGCCCAAUCAAUUGUCAAUACACCUCCUGGUCUCUCGAGGGAGCAUGUUUCUGAACCUCGUCUUCACGUCUCUCCUCAUUCUCUCCAUGCUGUGCUCCUUUCACCGAAUAUUCAGCCGGAUUUCCAAGCUGGAUGUCAUCUUCUGCAUCAUGAAUUACAUCUCAGGUUCUGCUUGGCAGCAGGCAGGUGAGGCUGAGGUUGGCCCAAUGACACCCAAGCAGAGUGACCCCAAAUCUCCCACUUCCUAUUGGCCUGCAGGAGAACUGACCUCGUCUCCAGAAGGUCGCCGUCU